rnacentral:lncRNA from 1 species
UAAUAUAGGGUCUAAUUGGAGGAGAUGAUUGAUGUUGUGCGGAUCAAAGCUAACAAUGUCUUUUAGGAGGAUGUGAGGGAUUGGGAAUGGAGGAGCCAUCUGUGAUCCGAUAAUGUCCAAGGAUCCGUCACGCUGGUGUACGAGAAACACUUCUGUAUGGCGCUUUAGUCUUAUUUCUAAAGUGUUGGAUGAACACUUGCAUGACACGGUUGCCUCAAUAUCAAUCGUUGCUUGUUCUCCACUCUCCAAUAUUAUUAACGAACAAUUUGCUCUUCAUUGUUUUUUUUCUAACAUUAGCACGCACAAGUGAAUGAGAGAGAUUAUUAAAUAGUGGCC